rnacentral:rRNA from 1 species
GACGAACGCUGGCGGCGUGCUUAACACAUGCAAGUCGAACGGAAAGGCCUGCUUUCCCUUGUGGAUUGCGGGUACUCGAGUGGCGAACGGGUGAGUAACACGUGAGUGAUCUGCCCCCAACUUGGGUAUAAGCCUGGGAAACUGGGUCUAAUUCCCGAUAGGACUGCAGGGUGGUGCCUGUGGUGGAAAACGAUUUUCUAGUGGUUGGGGAUGAGCUCGCGGCCUAUCAGCUUGUUGGUGGGGUAAUGGCCUACCAAGGCGGCGACGGGUAGCCGGCCUGAGAGGGUGGACGGCCACAUUGGGACUGAGAUACGGCCCAGACGCCUACGGGAGGCAGCAGUGGGGAAUAUUGCACAAUGGGCGGAAUCCUGAUGCAGCGACGCCGCGUGGGGGAUGACGGCCUUCGGGUUGUAAACUCCUUUCGACCGCGAGGAAGCCACCUGGUUGGAAGGGUGGUGACGGUAGUGGUAGAAGAAGCACCGGCUAACUACGUG